GGCGACGACGGGUACCGGGACUGAGAGGUUGACCCGGCGCAUCGGGACUGAGACACUGCCCGGACUCCUACGGGAGGCUGCAGUAACGAAUAUUGGUCAAUGGGCGAAAGCCUGAACCAGCGACGCCGCGUGUGGGAGGAAGCCCUUCGGGGUGUAAACCACUGUCAGGGAUUACCAAGCAAUGGAGGCUAAUACCCUCCUGCGUUGAGGCGUCCCAGAGGAAGUCACGGCUAACUUCGUGCCAGCAGCCGCGGUAAUACGAAGGUGGCGAGCGUUGUUCGGAAUCACUGGGCUUAAAGAGCACGUAGGCGGACUGCCAAGCGUCUUGUGAAACCCCCCGGCUCAACCGGGGAAUUGCUGGGCGAACUGGUAGUCUUGAGGCAAGUAGGGGCAGAUGGAACUCUUGGUGGAGCGGUGGAAUGCGUAGAUAUCAAGAGGAACGCCAGAGGCGAAGGCGAUCUGCUGGGCUUGACCUGACGCUGAGGUGCGAAAGCCAGGGGAGCAAACGGGAUUAGAUACCCCGGUAGUCCUGGCCAUAAACGAUGUCCACUAGAUCGGUGAACUUCUGACAGUGUGCCGGUCGAAACAAAAGCGUUAAGUGGACCGCCUGGGGAGUACGGUCGCAAGGCUAAAACUCAAAGGAAUUGACGGGGGCUCACACAAGCGGUGGAGCAUGUUGCUUAAUUCGAUGCAACGCGAAGAACCUUAUCCUGGGCUUGACAUGCUUGGAUGCCCAUCUGGAAACAGAGUAGGCUGCCCUUCGGGGUGAAACUUGCACAGGUGCUGCAUGGCUGUCGUCAGCUCGUGUCGUGAGAUGUUGGGUUAAGUCCCGUAACGAGCGAAACCCUUGUCGUUAGUUGCCAGCGCGUAAUGGCGGGGACUCUAGCGAGACUGCCGGUGUUAAACCGGAGGAAGGUGGGGAUGACGUCAAGUCCUCAUGGCCUUUAUGCCCAGGGCUGCAAACGUGCUACAAUGGCGAGGACAAACCGACGCAAAGCCGCGAGGUCGAGCAAAUCGGAGAAACCUUGCCCCAGUUCGGAUUGGAGUCUGCAACUCGACUCCAUGAAGUCGGAAUCGCUAGUAAUCGCGUAUCAGCGUGACGCGGUGAAUAUGUUCCUGAGCCUUGUACACACCGCCCGUCAAGUCAUGGAAGCUGGGAGCGCCCGAAGUCGG
rnacentral:rRNA from 1 species